GGUCAAGUGAAUAAGAGCAUGUGGUGGAUGCCUUGGCAAUGAUAGGCGACGAAAGACGUGAUAGCCUGCGAUAAGCUUCGGGGAGCUGGCAAAUAGCUUUGAUCCGGAGAUUUCCGAAUGGGGAAACCCACCCCGCGAGGGGUAACUCUGACUGAAUACAUAGGUCAUUGUGGCGAACCGGGUGAACUGAAACAUCUCAGUAGCUCGAGGAAAAGACAUCAACCGAGAUUCCGAAAGUAGCGGCGAGCGAAAUUGGAGUAGCCUUUACGUUUUAGCAUCGUGUAUAUCAGAACGGAAUGGAAAGUCCGGCCAUAGCGGGUGAUAGCCCCGUAUGAGAAAUGCUGCGGUGUGGAACUAAGCGUAA
rnacentral:ncRNA from 1 species